rnacentral:rRNA from 1 species
AUUGAACGCUAGCGGGAUGCCUUACACAUGCAAGUCGAACGGAGUGGCGAACGGGUGAGUAAUGUAUCGGAACGUGCCCCGUAGCGGGGGAUAACUACGCGAAAGCGUAGCUAAUACCGCAUACUAUUGGAGCGGCCGAUAUCGGAUUAGCAAGUUGGUGGGGUAACGGCUCACAAGGGCGACGGUCCGUAGCUGGUUUGAGAGGACGACCAGCCAAACUGGAACGGAGACACGGCCCGAACGCCUACGGGAGGAAGCAGUGGGAAAUUUUGGACAAUGGGGGAAACCCUGAUGCGGCAAGCCCGGGUGUGGGAGGAGGGCCUUCGGGUUGUAAAGCACUUUUGGCAGGAAGGCGGUACCUGCAGAAUAAGCACCGGCUAACUACGUGCCAGCCGCCGCGGUAAUUC